UAUGGUAAUUGGACACCAGUCUGGAAUAAGAGCGGGUACAGAACCCAUCGGUAGACAUGGGUUUAGAACGAAGCUUCUCUUCUCAGGCUUUGUGAUUGAGCCUCGUCGACUUUGCGCGUCAACUUCGCAGGCUUUGUGACUGAAAUUGAAGCAAAAAUCAAAAGAGAAGAACGAUUGUAUUGUUGGGUUCCGAUUCAUAGUUCUAUUGGGAAUGGAUUUCAAGUGAAUAUCAAAUUUUGAAGAUCUGGUGCGAAUCACUUUUACUGAUUUCAUAUUGGUUUUCUUUGACUUUUGCUAUUUUUGGAUUUGAAUUUGAAGAGUGAGAGGAGAUAGCAAAGGGACUGGCUUUAAGAAAAUUGCAGAAUCAUUUGAAACUUCAAUGGCUUCAAGAGUGGAGAUUGGUGAAGACGGUGAUACCAACAAAGGCAGUAUAUUUGAAUGUAUUUUUGUGAAUUUUAGGACUAUUUUUAUGAUAUCUUCAUGUGAUUUCUUAUUUUUAA